UACGGGGGGGGCAAGCGUUGUUCGGAAUUACUGGGCGUAAAGGGCUCGUAGGUGGCCAACUAAGUCAUACGUGAAAUCCCUCAGCUUAACUGGGGAACUGCGUCUGAUACUGGAUGGCUUGAGUUUGGGAGAGGGAUGCGGAAUUCCAGGUGUAUCGGUGAAAUGCGUAGAUAUCUGGAGGAACACCGGUGGCGAAGGCGGCGUCCUGGACCAACACUGACACUGAGGCGCGAAAGCGUGGGGAGCAAACAGG
rnacentral:rRNA from 1 species